rnacentral:rRNA from 1 species
UACGUAGGGUGCGAGCGUUAAUCGGAAUUACUGGGCGUAAAGCGUGCGCAGGCGGUGAUGUAAGACAGAUGUGAAAUCCCCGGGCUCAACCUGGGAACUGCAUUUGUGACUGCAUCGCUGGAGUGCGGCAGAGGGGGAUGGAAUUCCGCGUGUAGCAGUGAAAUGCGUAGAUAUGCGGAGGAACACCGAUGGCGAAGGCAGCCCCCUGGGCUAACACUGACGCUCAGGCACGAAAGCGUGGGGAGCAAACAGG